UGCCUACAGCCCUAAAGGCCAUGGCAUAAAAUACCGACGAAGAUUACUGAACCCACUGUUCAGGCUCCUUCGUCGGUCCAUGCUCGAAAGGGUAUGGGAGAGUCGCAAGAUUCUC
rnacentral:sRNA from 12 species